GACGAACGCUGGCGGCGUGCCUAAUACAUGCAAGUUGAGCGCUGAAGGUUGGUCCUUGUACCAACUGGCUGAGCAGCGCACGGGUGAGUAACGCGUGGGGAAUCUGCCUUUGAGCGGGGGACAACAUUUGGAAACGAAUGCUAAUACCGCAUAAAAACUUUAAACACAAGUUUUAAGUUUGAAAGAUGCGAUUGCAUCACUCAAAGAUGAUCCCGCGUUGUAUUAGCUAGUUGGUGAGGUAAAGGCUCACCAAGGCGAUGAUACAUAGCCGACCUGAGAGGGUGAUCGGCCACAUUGGGACUGAGACACGGCCCAAACUCCUACGGGAGGCAGCAGUAGGGAAUCUUCGGCAAUGGACGAAAGUCUGACCGAGCAACGCCGCGUGAGUGAAGAAGGGUUUCGGAUCGUAAAACUCUGUUGGUAGAGAAGAACGUUGGUGAGAGUGGAAAGCUCAUCAAGUGACGGUAACUACCCAGAAAGGGACGGCUAACUACGCG
rnacentral:rRNA from 1 species